rnacentral:snRNA from 1 species
GGAUGUAAGGGUGAUUUGGCUGUGACAUCUGUCACUGCAUUGAUUGUUAAGGUUGGUCUGACUGAUCUGGCUGGCUAGGUGGGUGUCCCCUUCCUCUCUCACCAUUCCAUGUGCAUCCCCACACAGAAAAGGAGUAGUCUUCAGUCAAGGAUACAUGAGUAACUGUGCUCCCCUGCCAGAUCCUCCACAGGCUCUCAAGGAGUGUGUAUCUCUGCUAGGCCUAUGCCAGAGACCUCAGAACCCGAGACACUGUGACUCCGUUUCU